GUUGAAAAGCCUUAGGCCUUGAUCUAACGGAAAACGCUAACUCUAGGUACGGGUUGCAAAGCCUUAUGCCUUGACGCAGCGGGACGAGUUAGUGGAUGAACUGGUCUAGGUCGUGGAGUAAAGUUUGUGACUCUGACCGGAUUGUCCCUAGCCCGUCACGUAGCGCUUCCGGACCUUGGUGUUGGGUUGGACGGUCAGUCAUGUUCUUGUUUGAUUGUUGGCUGGCCGGUUGGCCUUUCAUCUCCAACCCUUGGUGUGGGUCGUCCGUCGGUCAUGUUCUUGUUUGAUUGUUGGCCGGUGGGUCGACCUUUGCUUAGGACAGUUCGGGGGUGUUACACACAGGAUGUCCGUGGCUGGCCGUGUGUGUCCGUCAGCACACACAAGACGUCUGUGGCUGUCCAUCAGUACACAUAUCAGCCCACUAGUCCUUGGACUCAGCACGCUGGCCCUUCCCGUGGACUGUUUGGGUGAUUUUAGCCCACGUGGGCUGUCUGUUCAGUACACAUAGGAUGUCUGUGGGUGUCCGUCUGCACACACAGGACGUCUGUGUGUGUCCAUCAGCACACACAGAACGUCCGUGGCUGUCCGUGUGUGUCUGUGUGUGUCCAUAAGCACACACAAGACGUUCAUGGUUGUCCAUCAGUACACAUAUCAGCACGUUGGUCCUUGGACUCAGCACGCUGACCCUUCCCGUGGACUGUUUGGGUGAUUUUGGCCCAAGUGGGCUGUCUGUUCAGUGCAUACAGGACGUCCGUUGGUGUCCGCCAGCACACACAGGACGUCUGUGGCUCUCCGUGGCUGUCCAUCAGCAGACACAGGACGUCUGUGGCUGUCCGUGUGUGUCCGUCAGCACACGCAUGACGUCUGUGGCUGUCCGUGUGUGUCCGUAUGUGUCCGUCAGCACACACAGGACGUCUGUGGCUGUCCAUCAGUACACAUAUCAGCACGUUGGUCCUUGGACUCAGCAUGCUGACCCUUCCCAUGUACUGUUUGGGUGAUUUUGAUCCACGUGGGCUGUCUUUUCAGUACACACAGGACGUCUGUGGGUGUCCACCAGCACACAUAGGACGUCUGUGGCUGUCCGUGUGUGUCCGUCAGCACACACAGGACGUCUGUGGCUGUCCAUCAGUACAUAUAUCAGCACGCUGGUCCUUGGACUCAGCAUGCUGGCCCUUCCCGUGGACUGUUCGGGUGAUUUUAGCCCACGUGGGCUGUCUGUUCAGUACACACACGACGUCUAUGGGUGUCCGUCAGCACACAUAGGACGUGUAACAUCCCGGAUCCUGAAUAGGAUCAUUGGGACGGCCAUGGUUCGAGGAAACAUACUAGCCAGUCUUAAGACAUCAAGGCAAGCGUUCCAUGGCCGGAUAAGAAGGUUAUGGACGUAAGGAAACUUAGACUUAACCUUACACAAGUCGAGAAUCAGCUACAUCGAGCAGGACGGUAGCUGGACGGAUGGAACGGGUAGCUCAACUAGCUCAACGGAGUUAGGAUAAGCUCACUCCAGCUCGGACACUACAAGGUCAGCUCCACUAGCUGGACUACUAGCUCACUCAUCUGAGGCAGCUGGGGGUCAGCUCAUCUCAGCUGGAUGGACUGUUCGGGUUUCGGUCCGAUGGUCUGGGUCCGGGCCGGUGGCAGGCCAUGUGGGGUCCGGCCAUGAGGUCAUGGACCAUUGGGGCUUGGGACAAGGCCAUGGGCUAAGUCUAGAAGAGUUGGGUAAGGCUUUGGUCCACUUCCCGACCCAAACUCAUGCGGUAUUGGCGAAGGGACGCAUGCGGCCGAAAGGGUGUAACCUUGGCCGAUUGUGCCCGUUCGCUGGCCAGUCAUGCAUGUUUGUGGGGCAAGACUUACCCCCUCGUUUUCUGUAAAUAUGGGGCCCUCUCUAUCGAUUUCAAUCAUCCAAUCCAGAGUAAAAAUACUCAGAGAAAUCAUAGAGAGAGAGUUUCCGGCCAAAGCAAGGCCGAUUGUGUGGUGGUUAGGUUUCCGGCGAUCCGAUCGUUUGUGAAGCAACCUCCGAUCAAGUAUGGGAGACCGAGAGCAGGAGAAGAGCAUGGAGAACCCUGACCUGGUUCAGAAGGUACGUGGUGGGCUUUGGCCGCACCAGUCCGAACGGACGGUCCUUGUGAUCGCACCGCGGCUCUGGACGGUUCAUUAGACCUGACCGCUUCUCCUCUUCUUGUUUCAUUCCGGUCCUUUCUCUUCUUUCUGAUUAUGCACAAAGGGUUGUGUUGGUUCAGUCCAAGGGACAUCUUCCUGGACUUGGCUGGACAUAACCAAACCGCUAACCUAGAUGCUGGUCGGUUAGACGGUCGGUUCGAAUCGCACCAUAGACUGGGCGGUUGGGCUAAACGGUUGGGCAUGUCCCAAGAGGCACGAGGUCAAAGGUCACGAGUUACCAACGGUUGUGAGUUGCCAAAGGGUGUGAGUAACCAAGAGUUACGAACGCCAAGUGGUACGAUCACCAAGUAGUACGAGGACCAAGAGGUACCAAAGGCCGAAGGGGGGCGUGUACCAAGCAGUGCCUGUUGAGGCAGGUCGUGUUCGUUCCUUAGGGAUCAGACCAUGUCUUGUCCGUUGAGACAAGUACACGGUCCGUCCAGGCCAGGGUAAGAGUCGCAAGGUCCGACCGGCCAUUGGCCUGACCGGAUUGGGCGUGAGGCUUACUCGGCCGUUGGAUCCUGGCUAAGGCCGGAUCAGGUAAGGAAGCCCGUUGGGCCAUUGAGCCGGACUUCAUCUAGGCCGGUCGCACCUAGAUUCUAUCCGGAUGGAUGGAUUGGUCUUCGUGUGGUCUUUUUAUCUAUUCUGGACUGUCUCUCUGAUUCUAAGUCAAGGGGUGGUUGGUUGAAUGACUUAGGAUUCGGUAGGCAGGUUCAUAUCUUUUCACAAGUAUAUUGUCUGAGGUUUAUCAAUGUUCUAGGAACCAAGCCAAGCAUUGUAGGAUCGACCAGUCCUAUUCUCGGUUAUGAUUGAUGCUUACCUGGUUGUGGUUUCAGGAACUAAGGAUGGUUCUGGUCAAGCCAAGGAGCCGUGAAGGCUCGGUCAGUGAGAGGCUGUGUAACGUGUGGUUAGAUGAUGCUAGGGACGAACUAGUGAUUGUCUAUGAAACUGUUAAGAAGUUGUGUAUUGGAUCUCAUGUUUCUAAGUACUACAAAGUUUACACAUUGUUAUUCCGCUGUGCUAUCUGUUACAUUGUUUUAGAACCUCAGAUUCGAACAUGACUUAGUAAAUGAAAGACUUAAAAUGAAUCAAACAAGCAAAGAAAUUGAUUAAGUAGCAAACGGGUUCAGUCUUGUCGAGAGGCCGGAUUCGGGAGUUACAAGUUGGUAUCAGAGCAUGCUUGAUUCUAGGAUAGUUGGGUUAUGUAGUCCACACACACGCAGCCAGCUGAUUCAGUCUCACGGUGAGGUUUGAUAGUUAGGUCUAGGGAUUAAUUGUCUCGGUUAAGUUAUGUAUAUGUUGUACUAACAAUGUCUGAAUCCUUAGGCUGGGAAAAGCAAAUCGGGAAAGACCCGAAGGAAUAAGAAAACGGCUGGUCCGUCAAGUCAAGUGGCUGCGGACGGACUUAAUCUGUCCGGGUUACCAACCGAGCCGGCUGUGACUAACACCAGUGAUGUCAUGUCCCCGAUCCUGGAUAGGAUCGUCCGGACGGACUGCGGUGCGAGGAAACGCACCAGUCAGGUCAUAUGACCUAAAGACAAGUAUAUCAUGGCCUGAAGGUAAGGUUAAGGGCAUCAGGAAGCUAAGGCAUAGCUAAUCCAAGAAGGAGACAAGCUCAAAGGAGCUGGACAAGCGAGCUGGUAGCUGGACAAUAUCCAGGUGAAGCUCGAUGAAGUGAGUGAUCAGAAUGGAUCAUGGGAAAACUAAGUCUAGGUCUGGAAAUUGACCAAGGGACUUAGAAGGAUUGAAGAAGAUAAAGGAAGCAAGCUGGACACAGUCUAUAACAGCUGGGUGAUGCAGUAAGCAAGCUCGACCAGCUAGGUGAAGUGUAGUGCAGCUCGGUGUAGCUCACUGAAGUAUAGGUCAGCUCCCUGAGCUGGAUGGUCUAGCUCACUCAGCUGGAUCAGCUGGGGAUCAGCUCAACUCAGCUGGACUGAGUGUUCAGGUGUUGGGCAGUGGGCCGGGUCUGGACAGUGGCCGGGCCAUGUGGGUGACCCGUGUGUGCCGAUGGGCUAGUGGGCUCUUGGGAUUGAGCCAUGGGCAUGGGCAGCCCAUGUGGGAUAGUUUUGGACAUGUCCAGGAGUGGUUUGGCAGUUCCAGGGCGUGUGGUAACUGCCAUAGGCGAAAGGGUGCAAUCUGUACCAUUGAUUAAAUCAAUGGCCAGAAAUGAUACCGAAGGGAUGCAAUGGUUAAGAAGUAACCACCCCUUCUCCUAUAUAAGGAGGGCAAGUCCGUGCCUUUUGAUUCCCGCCAGGGCUUCCUACUACACCCUGAAACACAAAGAAUCCAGAGAAAAAUACAGAGAUUUGGUCGGAUUCCCAAUCCAAGACCCAUGGUGGUGUGAAGGCCAUAAAGAGACAGUUUUAGGGCAGAUCAAGGGGGAAGUUGAGAACGACCCUCUGAACGGUUUUGACCAUUGUUGACAACACCUAAAGCCUUAUCUGGAGCCUGUGAACACACGCAAAUGGUGAGGAAAGGAGGGAGUUGGCCGGAAUCCAUUCCCAAGGGCCAAUGCAGCCUUAAAGGGAGAUUGGUGUGGAAAGCAGUUUCAUGGGGAACAAAGAGGGAACUGAUGAACGACCUUUGGAUGGUGAUUGAUCAUGGAUGAUCAUUUCAAAGGCUUCCUCUGUGUCUUGGGAACACACGCAAUUGGUUAGGAGAGAAGGGGGAAGGCUUGACUCCACUCUCAAAGGCAUGAACAGCCUUGAAGAUGGAUGCAGUAUAGAAACUGGUUUCAUGGAAGUUCCAUGGAAGGAGUGAUGGGCACGAACCAUGGUUAGAUCUUAUCAAUACUGGAAGUAUGUGAUAAGGGUUUGAUGAAGGCGUGCUAGGAGGAGCAUGGACGCCCCUGAUGAGGUAACAGGUGGGGACUGCGGACCAUUGGACAUAGUCUGGUACACUAUGGGCUGAUCUGGUUCUGCAGUUACACCUUACUCUGUUUUAUGAUUAUUAAUCAUAUUAUUUCUUUUUCUUAUGAUUGAGAUUGAUGAUUAGACAUAGUAGCACUGAACCAUGGCUUGGCCGGUUCAGAAGAACCCUCCAUGGACUUGGUUUGGCAGCUACGAGAACCCUCCAUGGAGCACUGAACCAUGGCUUGGCCGGUUCAGAAGAACCCUCCAUGGACUUGGUUUGGCAGCUACGUCCGGAUCUCCUACUUCCUGAUGGAUUUAUGGCGAUCUGACUUUGGAAUCUUCUUAGUGGUGAAUUAUCAUGAAUUAUCAUGGUAUUUGGGGGUUUUUAUCUGAUUGAUUUCGAGAUGGUCAAGGUGGUCGGUGGGGCUGUUUUAGGUCGAGAUCCAUAGGAUCGAGAUCGGUUCUUGGAAUUCUGACUUGACCAUUCUCUUAGUUAAGAUUUAUCAUGAAUUAUCAUGAAUCCUAAUGAGUUUUUAGGGAUUGAUUUAGAGAUGGUCCCUUGGGCCGGUUUGGCUGAUCUUGGCCGAGAUCUAUUGGAUGGAGGCCGGUUCUGGGAAAUCUGAUUGGACCAUUCUAUUAGUUAUGAUUUAUCAUGAAUUUUCAUGAAUUUUAAUUGAUUUUUGGAGCAGGUUUGCUUGGGGUCGAAAUUGCACCUGAGGGCAUAUUGGGGUCAGAUCCUUGUGUUAGGAUAUCUGAUCAUAUGUUUGUGUGCUGGAACAUAUUGUCACUUAUGAUAUUGAUCAUAAGGAAUUGCUGGUUAUCAACCUUGGUUUUGGUAAGGUAUGGGCAAUGCAUUGGCUGAGAGCCAGGAAGAAGAGUACAGCUAAGUACUUGGUGGCGUGGACCAAUGUACUAAGCUUGGGUGUUAUUAUUCAAGGCAGGCCGUGUGUGAUCUGAUCAUGGGCAAGGAUGGACGACCUGAUCCUUGGAUGUUGGAACAAGGUGUCUGAUCAAAUUGAUCAAAGGAUGCACCGGUGGUAAGAGCAGAGCAACACUAAUCAGGUUCAGUGGGACAUGGUUCCAUGACUGAUUAGGAAGUAUGAAGACUCAUCAGUUCUGAGUCAUGUGGGGUGGUUGGUUGAUUGACUCAGGAUCUGAUGGGCAUUGUUAGUCUUUGUGAGGAAUUGAUCUGGUUAGACCAUGAGAGGACUUGGUAUUAUAUUCUACAAAGCGUACGGGUAUUGGAUGAUGCAUGGGCUAAGAAGGGCCAGAUGCAUAUCAGUUACUAUUGAAGACUUCCCAAAGGUUACUUAGUCUGUGGGGAGGGUUGGCUGAAUGACUAAGUACCCAAGGGAAGAGUUUAUGCAGGUAUAAGGGAGUUGGAGGAGUGGACGGGGAGCUGGGCAAAGCUACCUCGCACCUCGAUCAGCUGGAACGGAGCAGCAAACCUCAAGUGAAGUGGUUCAGCUCAACUAGUUGGGUGAGCUAGCUAAGACAGCUAAGUCAGCUGGGACAAUGAGCUAACAAGCUCCGAGAAUGUGGCAAAGGUAUGAUAUGUCAAUGUUGCAUAGAUCUAGAUAGAAUGGCUUAGGGGAACGGAACCUCUGAUAGUAUGACUUGGUCUAGGUUCAGGAUCGACCUUGGAGCUAGCUGGCAGUUGUGUUACUGACCUGUAGCUGAGGUGAUCUGACCAGAUAAGUGUUAGAUUGGAUUUAGUCCAAUGCAUGAUAGAUGUUAUUCCGCUGUGCAUAAGUUGAAAUGAGCUAAGCUAGGGAAUGACUAAGGUAGUCUUGAGCUAAGAUCUGAGUUAGCCCUCGCCUAUGGGCGAUGUUUUUAAAUAAAGGGCAAAAUUUUUAGAGGUUCGGUCAGUGUAUAGACCGAGCGACGUGAGGCAUCGACCGCGGCCUAGUCGGCCGAGAUCGGGUCUUACAGGUGAUGUGUUACCGACUGACCAUGCCAAUCUUACGAGAACUCAACAGGAAGGUCAGCAACACCGGGAGAGUGACGAGGAAGUGGAAUCCUCGAACGCUAACCGUGAUGGUGACCAGCGUGAGGAAAGGGCCGAGGGAGCAGCCAACGUGUUCGCAGCACUGUCCCGUGAGGACUUGUUAGAGGCCAUGAAAGUAAUGGGUAACCAGGUGGCGGCUAUGACUCAGCUGUUCACUCCACUAGGGAAUUCAUCAGUUGGUCAAGCUACGCCUGUAGCUACGGCUACACCUAUUGUUACGGGUCCAGCUGUGGACGCGGUCGAGGUGAUCGAGAUCGAUCCACCGGAAGGGUCUGUAAAGAAGGUUGACUAUCUGAGCUUGCUUCAACAUCUAUCCAGAUUGGGUACGAAGCAAUUCUCAGGUAGCACCGACCCUGUUGUGGCAGAUGAGUGGACGAGUAGGUUGGUCCGAAACUUCCAAUCAACUCGCUGUCCAGAGGAUUACAGACGAGAUAUUGCGGUUCACUCCCUGGAAGGGGACGCGCAUAAUUGGUGGCUUGCAGUGGACAAGCGCACCAAUGGAGGUCUCACAAGUUUUGCGGAUUUUGAAAUUGAAUUCAACCGCAAAUACUUUCCUGCCGAGGCUUUGGAUCGUCUGGAAGCUAUGUUUCUAGAUUUGGUCCAAGGCCGCAGGACCGUACGGGAGUACAAAGAAGAGUUCAACCGACUCAGGCGGUUUGUUGGAAGAGAGCUGGAGGACGAAGCAGUCCAGGUUCGUAGGUUCAUCUGACGCCUAAGGCCGGAACUGAAGACCCACUGCUCGAUCCGCACUUUCAACACCGUCGGAGAACUGGUGGAACGGGUGGCUUUGUUGGAGUCUAACUUGGCUAAGGAAGCUAAGCUUAAGGCUAAGCCACAGUCUGGCCCAUUGGGCAAGACUAAUGAUAAAAAGAGAAAAUGGGACCAGGUGGACGGAGGUAAGACCUCUGGUGGCCGACCUGCGUGUUCCAAAUGUGGACGGAACCAUCCCAGUGAGUGCUGGAAGGCCAAGGGGGCUUGUGUUCGUUGUGGCAGCAUGGACCAUGGGGUUCAGAACUGUCCUCGACUGAACCAGUCUGGGAGAAGCGGUCAGAUGACCUGUUUUCAUUGUGGCCAGCCAGGACAUUUCCAAUCGGAGUGUCCCAAGCUGCAAGGAAGUCAGGGGAAGGGCCGUGGAGAUUCAGGAAAGGCGUCCCACGGCAAACCAACCACCACACCGAGGGUGUAUGAACUGUCACGAGAAGACGGAGCUUCCGGAUCCUUUGAUUCGAUCUUUGGUAAUUUAUAAAUUUAUCUUUUUACAUUCAAGUAGUAAUGCUUGGUCUGGAACCUAGAAUGUGGUCUAGGGGAUUCUGAUGAGGGGUCUCUGAUAGGAACCCUCAUGGUCGGUCGGGUAAAAACACACGUGCUUUUCGACACAGGGGCUACACAUAGUUUUGUGAGUCCGGGACUGGUUGGAAAAGGUCUGUUCUGUCUGGAUGCUGGUGAUAAUUUUGGGAUAGUGAGGGCGGCCGGUGGGCAAGCCAUGAACUCACUAGGUCUCAUGUCGAAUAUCCCAGUACAGAUCCAAGGAAAGGUCUUCCCCGUUAAUCUGGUCUGUGUCCACCUAAAGAAUCAAGAAGUGAUCUUAGGUAUGGAUCGGUUGGGAAAGUACCGAGCCACUCUCGAUUGCCAUAAGGGUCAUGUGCAAUUGGAGAAUGGACUUCACCCGGUAGAGUACCAAGGUCUGUGUCAGGCUCAAGAGAAAGCAGUGGUUUCAGCAGUUCGAGAGAUACGGAUGCUGGAACAGGGUUGUCAUUCAUUCUUGGCUACAAUUACAACUACAGACCCUGAACGUUCUGGUUUUCUGUUAGACCCACGCGAGGAUUCGUUGGUGUCCGAGUUCCAGGAUGUGUUUCAGUCGCUACAGGGUGUCCCCCCUGAUAGGUCUGAUCCCUUCCUGAUUGAACUGGAAACAGGGACAGCUCCGCUGUCCAAGAGUCUGUAUCGAAUGGCUCCGGCCGAGAUGGCCGAGCUAAUGUAGCUCCCCUUGGGGUGCACCAGUCCUCUUUGUGAAAAAGAAGGAUGGUAGCAUGUGUCUGUGCAUCGACUAUCGAGGGUUGAACAUGGUAACUGUGAAGAACAAUUACCCGUUGUCCAGGAUAGACGAGCUGUUGGAUCAGCUGAAAGGAGCUAAGUGGUUUUCUUAAAUCGAUUUGGCCUCGGGAUAUCAUCAGAUUCCUAUAGAGCCAAACGACAUUAGGAAAACAGCAUUUAGGACCACGUACGGCCAUUACGAAUUCGUAGUGAUGCCGUUCGGUCUGACCAAUGCACCUGCUGCAUUCAUGAAAAUGAUGAACAGCGUGUUCCGGGACUUCUUGGAUGAAUCAGUGAUAAUCUUCAUUGAUGAUAUCCUCAUUUAAUCUAAGGACGAGGAAUCUCAUCGGAAACAUUUGAGAGCCGUGCUGGAACGAUUACGAGAGCACAAACUCUUUGCUAAACUCAGCAAGUGCAGUUUUUGGCAAAAGAGUAUUGGGUUCCUCGGUCAUAUUGUCUCUGACCAGGGCGUCUCAGUGGUCCAGAGAAGAUCCGGGCAAUCAAGGAUUGGUCCCGACCACGCAGUGACACGGAAGUUAGAAGCUUCCUAGGGCUGGCAGGUUACUAUAGAAAGUUUGUGAAGGGAUUCGCAAACCUGGCUCAGCCGAUGACACGGUUGACUGGGAAGGACGUUAAGUUAACAUGGUCUGACGAGUGUACGAGAUGUUUCUCCGCACUUAAGGAUAUGUUAACUAGCGCACCCGUCCUGGUUCUCCCGAAGGCAGACCAACCUUAUGUUGUCUACACGGAUGCAUCCAUCACUGGACUCUGUUGCGUGUUGACCCAACAUGGGAAGGUCAUUGCUUACGCGUCAAGGCAGCUGAAGAAACAUGAGGGAAACUACCCAACCCAUGACCUUGAAAUGGCUGCGGUAGUGUUCGCCUUAAAGAUUUGGCGAUCAUAUUUAUAUGGGGCCAAAGUCCAGAUACUUACGGAUCAUAAAAGUCUGAAGUAUAUAUUCACCCAGCCUGAGUUGAACUUAAGGCAGAGGAGGUGGAUGGAGUUCGUGGCCGACUACGACCUAGACAUCACCUACUAUCCGGGCAAGGCCAACCUUAUGGCUGACGCUUUGAGCCGGAAACGAGAAUAUGUUACGGCCGGUAGCAGAAUGGACGAGCCGGAUGAGGUGGGACGUUUCAUCCGUUUAAAUGUUUUGAAUGGGACGGACGGACCACGGGGUUUAGAGGUGGUGAAUAGAGCCGACCUGCUUUCCCGGAUCCGAGCGGCCCAAGAUCAGGACGAGAACCUGAAGACGGUUGCUCGGAACGACCUGACUGAGUAUCAAAUCGUUAAGGACGGUACGAUCUUAGUUCAUGGUCGGAUCAGCGUACCCAAUGAUAGGAGUUUGAAGGACGAGAUCCUUAGAGAAGCUCACAAGUCUAGAUUCUCGAUCCAUCCUGGAGUGACCAAGAUGUAACACAAUCUCAGACAGUACUAUCAUUGGAUACGGAUGAAGGUCGAUGUGGCCGAAUGGGUGGCCAACUGUCCUACUUGUCAACUCGUCAAGGCCGAACAACAAGUUCAGAGUGGACUGCUUCAGAGCCUACCUAUUCCGGAAUGGAAGUGGGAUCACAUCACGAUGGACUUCGUGAUAGGAUUUCCCAUGACCAGGAAUAGGAAUGAUGCUGUCUGGGUAAUAGUUGAUCGACUGACCAAGUCUGCCCACUUCCUGACCAUCAAAAAGACUGAUGGAGUCGACCGGAUUAUGAGUAAGUACAUUGACGAGAUUGUGAGGCUACACGGAGUACCCUCAAGUAUAGUUUCGGAUAGAGAUUCGAGGUUCACAUCUCACUUCUGGCAAGCUUUUCAAAAAGCUUUAGGAACAAGAGCGAACAUGAGUACAGCUUAUCAUCCCCAAAUGGAUGGGCAGUCAGAAGGAACUAUACGGACGCUGGAGGACAUGCUUCGAGCAUGUGUUCUCGAUUGGGGUGAUUCCUAGGAACGGCAUUUGCCGUUAGUGGAGUUCGCCUACAAUAACAGCUUCCACUCAAGUAUAGGCAUGUCACCAUACGAAGCUUUGUAUGGACGACCAUGCAGGACACCGUUAUGCUGGACCUAAGUGGGGGCACGCAGCAUGAUAGGCCCCGAGAUCGUGGAAGAAACCACGGAGAAGAUCAUGUCCGUGCGGGACAAGAUGAGGGCUGCACAGGACAGACAAAAACACUACGCUGACAAACGAAGGAAAGAACUGGAGUUUACAGUGGGUGAUAUGAUCUAUCUCAAAAUGAUUACCUUUAAAGGUAGAGUACGAAUUUCUGGUAGAAGGAAAUUGGACCCAAUAUACCUAGGGCCGUUCAGAGUCAUAGAACGAGUGGGUAGUGUGGCAUACAAGUUGGACUUACCAUCUGAGAUGGAAGCCUUUCAUAAUGUAUUCCAUAUCUCCCAACUCCGGAAGUGCUUGACGGAUCAGGACAUCUUAAUACCUGAAAUACCAUCCGAUCUAGGUACGAACCUAACUUUGGAAACAAAGCCGGUUUGGAUCAUAGAUAGGAUGGAAAAAGCAAUGAGAAAGAAAACAAUCCAGAUGGUCAAGGUCAUUUGGGAUUGUAAUGCUCGAGAAGAGACCACUUGGGAGACGGAGGCCAGGAUGAAGGCCGAGUUUCCAAAUUGGUUCGACCAGUUUGUGUUGGAUGAAACACAUGAGUCGGAUUCGAGGACGAAUCCAUUGCUAGUGGGGGAGACUUAUAACAUCCCGGAUCGUGAAUAGGAUCAUUGGGACGGCCACGGUUCAAGGAAAUGUACUAGCCAGUCUUAAGACAUCAAGGCAAGCGUUCCAUGGCCGGAUAAGAAGGUUAAGGACGUAAGGAAACUUAGACGUAACCUUACACAAGUCAAGAAUCAGCUAGACCGAGCAGGACGGUUGCUGGACGGAUAGAACGGGUAGCUAAACUAGCUCAACGGAGUUAGGAUAAGCUCACUCAAGCUCGGACACUACAAGGUCAGCUUCACUAGCUGGACUACUAGCUCACUCAGCUGAGGCAGCUGGGGGUCAGCUCAUCUCAGCUGGACGGACUGUUCGGGUUUCGGUCCGAUGGUCCGGGUCCGAGCCGGUGACAGGCCAUGGGGGGUCUGGCCAUGAGGUCAUGGACCGUUGGGGCUUGGGACAAGGCUGUGGGCUAAGUCUAGAAGAAUUGGGUAAGGCUUUCGGCCUCUGCCCGACCCAAACCCAUGCGGUAUUGGCGAAGGGACGCAUGCGGCCGAAAGGGUGUAACCCUUGGCCGAUUGUGCCCGUUCGCUGGCCAGUCAUGCCUGUUCAUGGGGAAAGACUUACCCCCUCGUUUUCUAUAAAUAUGGGGCCCUCUCUGUCGAUUUCAAUCAUCCAAUCCAGAGUAAAAAUACUCAGAGAAAUCGUAGAGAGAGAGAAAGAAAGAGAGAGAGUUUUCGGCCAAAGCAAGGCCGAUUGUGUGGUAGUUAGGUUUCCGGCGAUCCGAUCGUUUGUGAAGCAACCUCCGAUCAAGUAUGGGAGACCGAGAGCAGGAGAAGAGCGUGGAGAACCCUGACCUGGUUCAGAAGGUACGUGGUUGGUUUUGGCCGCACCAGUCCGAACGAACGGUCCUUGUGACCGCACCGCGGCUCUGGACGGUUCAUUAGACCUGACCGCUUCGCCUCUUCUUGUUUCUAUCCGGUCCUUUCUCUUCUUUCUGAUUAUGCAUGAAGGGUUGUGUUGGUUCAGUCCAAGGGACACGUUCCUGGACUUGGCUGGACAUAACCAAACCGCUAACCUAGACGCUGGUCGGUUAGACGGUCGGUUCGAAUCGCACCAUAGACUGGGCGGUUGGGCUAAACGGUUGGGCAUGUCCCAAGAGGCACGAGUGGCCAAAGGUCACGAGUUACCAACGGUUGUGAGUUGCCAAAGUGUGUGAGUAACCAAGAGUUACGAACGCCAAGUGGUACGAUCACCAAGUAGUACGAGGACCAAGAGGUACCAAAGGCCGAAGGGGGCGUGCACCAAGCGGUGCCUGUUGAGGCAGGUCAUGUCCGUUCCUUAGGGAUCAGACCAUGUCUUGUCCGUUGAGACAAGUACACGGUCCGUCCAGGCCAGGGUAAGAGUCGCAAGGUCCGAGCGGCCAUUGGCCUGACCGGAUUGGGCGUGAGGCUUACUCGACCGUUGGAUCCAGGCCUAAGGCCGGAUCAGGUAAGGAAGUCCGUUGGGCCAUUAAGCCAGACUUCAUCUAGGCCGGUCACACCUAAAUUCUAUCCGGAUGGACGGAUUGGUCUUCGGGACGAUCCGGACUGUUCGUGUGUUCUGUUUAUCUAUUCUGGACUGUCUAUCUGAUUCUAAGUCAAGGGGUGGUUGGUUGAAUGACUUAGGAUUUGGUAGGCAGGUUCAUAUCUUUUCAUAAGUAUAUUGUCUGAGGUUUAUCAAUGUUCUAGGAACCAAGCCAAGCAUUGUAGGAUCGACCAGUCCUAUUCUCGGUUAUGAUUGAUGCUUACCUGGUUGUGGUUUCAGGAACUAAGGAUGGUUCUGGUCAAGCCAAGGAGCCGUGAAGGCUCGGUCAGUGAGAGGCUGUGUAACGUGUGGUUAGAUGAUGCUAGGGACGAACUAGUGAUUGUCUAUGAAACUGUUAAGAAGUUGUGUAUUGGAUCUCUUGUUUCUACGUAAUACAAAGUUUACACAUUGUUAUUCCGCUGUGCUAUCUGUUACAUUGUUUUAGAACCUCAGAUUCGAACAUGACUUAGUAAAUGAAAGACUUAAAAUGAAUCAAACAAGCAAAGAAAUUGAUUAAGUAGCAAACGGGUUCAGUCUUGUCGAGAGGCCGGAUUCGGGAGUUACAAGUUGGUAUCAGAGCAUGCUUGAUCGUUACAGGAAGUCCGUGUGUGUCCGUCAGCACACACAGGACGUCCGUGGCUGUCCGUGUGUGCCUGUUUGUGUCCAUCAGCACACACAGGACGUCUGUGGCUGUCCAUCAGUACACAUAUCAGCACGUUGGUCCUUGGACUCAGCACGCUAACCCUUCCCGUGGACUGUUUGGGUAAUUUUGGCCCAAGUGUCCGCCAGCACACACAGGACGUCUUUGGCUGUCCGUGGCUGUCCAUCAUCAGACACAGGACGUCUGCGGCUGUCAGUGUUUGUCUGUCAGCACACACAGGACGUCUGUGGCUGUCCGUGUGUGUCCGUGUGUUUCGUCAGCACACACAGGACAUCCGUGGCUGUCCAUCAGUACACAUAUCAGCACGUUGGUCCUUGGACUCAGCACGCUGAUAUGUGUCCAUCAGUACACAUAUCAGCACGUUGGUCCUUGGACUCAGCACGCUGACCCUUCCCGUGGACUGUUUGAGUGAUUUUGGCCCACGGGGGCUGUCUGUUCAGUACACACAGGACGUUCGUGAGUGUCCGCCAGCACACACAUGACAUCCGUGGCUGUCCAUGUGUGUCCGUGUGUGUACGUCUGUGUCCGUCAGCACACACAGGUCGUAUGUGGCUGUUCAUCAGUACACAUAUCAGCACGUUGGUCCUUGGACUCAGGACGCUGGCCCUUCUCGUGGACUGUUUGGGUGAUUUUGGCUCACGUGGGCUGUCUGUUCAGUACACACUGUGGCUGUCCGUCAGCACACACAUGACGUCUGUGGGUGUCCGUCAGUACACACAGGACGUACGUGUAUGUCUGUCAGCACACACAGGACGUCCGUGGCUGUCCGUGUGUGUCCGUCAGCACACACAGGACGUCAGUGGCUGUUCAUCAGUACACAUAUCAGCACGUUGGUCCUUGGACUCAGCACGCUGGCCCUUCCCGUGGACUGUUCGGGUGAUUUUGGCCCACGUGGGCUGUCUGUUCAAUACACACAGGACGUCUGUGGGUGUCCGUCAGCACACCCAGGAUGUCCGUGGCUGUCCGUGUGUGUAUGUGUUUGUCCAUCAGCACACACAGGACGUCCGUGGCUGUCCAUCAGUACACAUAUCAGCACGUUGGUCCUUAUACUCAGCACGCUGGUCCUUAUACUCAGCACGCUGACCCUUCCCGUGGACUGUUAGGGUGAUUUUGGCCAGAGUGGGCUGUCUGUUCAGUACACACAGGACGUCCGUGGGUGUCCGCCAGCACACGUAGGACGUCUGUGGCUGUCUGUGGCUGUCCAUCAGCAGACACAGGACGUCCGUGGCUGUCUGUGUGUGUCCGUGUGUGUCCGUCAGCACACACAAAACGUCUGUGGCUGUCUAUGUGUGUCCGUAUGUGUCCGUCAGCACACACAGGACGUCCGUAGCUGUCCAUCAGUACACAUAUCAGCACGUUGGUCCUUGGACUCAGCACGCUGACCCUUCCCGUGGACUGUUUGGGUGAUUUUGGUCCACGUGGGCUGUCUGUUCAGUACACACAGGACGUCCGUGGGUGUCCGCCAGCACACACAGGACAUCCGUGGCUGUCCGUGUGUGUCCGUGUGUGUCCGUCUGUGUCCGUCAGCACACACAGGUCGUCUGUGGCUGUUCAUCAGUACACAUAUCAGCACGUUGGUCCUUGGACUCAGGACGCUGGCCCUUCCCGUGGAUUGUUUGGGUGAUUUUGGCCCACGUGGGCUGUCUCUUCAGUACACACAGGACGUCCGUGGGUGUCCGCCAGCACACACAGGACGUCUGUGGCUGUCUGUGGCUGUCCGACAGCACACACAUGACGUCUUUGGCUGUCUGUGUGUGUCCGUGUGUGUCUGUGUGUGUCCGUCAGCACACACAGGACGUAUGUGGGUGUCCGUCAGCACACACAGGACGUUCGUGUGUGUCCGUCAGCAUACACAGGACGUCUGUGGCUGUCCAUUAGUACAUAUAUCAGUACGCUGGUCCUUGGACUCAGCACGCUGGCCCUUCCCGUGGGCUGUUUGUUCAGUACACACAAGACGUCUGUUGGUGUCCGUCAGCACACACAGCACAUCCGGGUGUGUCCAUCAGCACACACAGGACGUCCGUGGCUGUACGUGUGUGUCCAUCAGCACGUGCUUCCGCAGUAAAUGACGAGGUCAAAAAAUUGCUCAAAGUCGAGUCGAUAACAGAAGUAAGAUACCCAGACUGGCUCGCGAACCCUGUAGUAGUCAAAAAGAAAAACAGGAAAUGGCGAGUUUGCGUGGAUUUUACCGACCUAAACAAGGCCUGUCCGAAGGAUAGUUUCCCUCUACCACAUAUCGAUCAAUUGGUAGAAGCAACAGCGGGCAACGAGCUCUUAUCCUUCAUGGACGCCUUCUCAGGUUAUAAUCAAAUUAUGAUGAACCCCGACUGUAACACCCCCGAACCGUCCUAAGCAUAGGUCGACCCACCGGCCAACAAUCAAACAAGAACAUGACCGACGGACGACCCACACCAAGGGUUGGAGAUGAAAGGCCAACCGGCCAGCCAACAAUCCAAAAAGAACAUGACUGACCGUCCAACCCAACACCAUGGUUCGGAAGCGUUACAUGACGGGCUACGGACAAUCCGGUCAGAGUCUCAAACUUUACUUCACGACCUCGACCAGUUCAUCCACUAAGUCGUCCCGCUGCGUCAAGGCACAAGGCUUUGAAACCCGGCCAAGAGUUAGCGUUUUCCGUUAGAUCGAGGCCUAAGGCUUUUCAACCCAUACUACGACCUAACAUUGUGUUAGACCGAACUAGUCAAAUAUCAGAGUACUCAUGAAGCGCAUAUAAAACAUUUACUUUAUUGAUUCGAGAAAUAUCCAUACAUUGAAUAAUUCGAGACUGAGCCCGGCCUAAUGCCAAAUCGAGCCAACAAAACACAUAACUCAAUACCGUUUACAAAAGGCAUGAAAAUCUACACCGGCGGUCCUAAUGUCCAGCACCAACCUAUCCGAUCAUCCUUACCUAAAGCGACCUGAAAAAAAAGGAAAACGGAGUUGGAUGAGUAACCUAAUGUUACUCAGUGAGCUGGUGGCCUCUACCCGCAACCUAGACUCUAACCCAGACAACCCAAAAUAACAAUCAAUCUAGCCCUAGCAUGCAAUAAAAGCUAAGGCUAAGCAAACCGUUACUGAGUUAGAUUUGGCCUCCUGCCAUGAUCUAACUUCAAGUAACAGGAACCUGCAAGAAAACAAGUCAACAACCAAUCCUUAGUUAACCAUAUAUACGCCUGAGUUCAGUACUCAUGUAGUGUUAGACACUUAGACUAUACAAGUAUCAUUAGUCGAUCCAACAAUCAAACAAGAACAUGAUCGGCCAACCAAUGAUACCUCAUAGCUUUAAUAUCCACCACCCUUCACAAGCAGUCAGACUUAGGUCUUAAUGCCAGAACCUGCAAGUAAAUCAAACAAGAACAUGAUCGAACAACGUCAGGCCUACAAUAACCAAAUACACACCAAGCCUAAUACGGUACCUAAACCAGACUUAGGUCUUAAUGCCAGAACCUGCAAGUAAAUCAAUCAACCACAAUCACAAUAAUAACUAUGAGUAUCUACGACUCGAUCUAACUCGUAACACCGUAUAUCGAUGCUACAUUACUCAAGGGUUCCAUAACCCUCUACGACACACUAACACAACACUCUAACCUGGCCCCUGGUGACUUCGUGUUCCUCCUCUCUAUCAGCAAUAUCCUAUCUUCCUACCACAAAGGCCAGAAGAAGGAACUUUCAACCGACCGCGGCCCACCGUCAUUCGGGUCACCGCGCGACAGCCCACAGUCCUUCGGGUUACUGCCACAUUACACCGUCGUGUAAUACUCAGCCAUAGUACAUGACACCGUUCGUCUGAGUCUUCCCGAUUCAGCGAAUAAGGGGUUUCCUUGAACCCGCUGGGUACGAGGCCGAGGAGCACUAAUCACCCCUACACAAGCCUAGUAUGGGCGGGUUUCGCACAUACUGUUGGCACACUCACAACAAAACAAACUCAAUCUAGAACCUAACCUAAAGCCAAAGUUCCAGAUCCUAACUAGACACUCGACUCCACAAGACUAACCAUAGUACCAGUAGUCCGGCCUAUAUGACCUAAGACCCUUAGUACUAACUACUAAACAACUAAGCAAUAAUAAUCAAUACUAAUCAAUUAAAUCAAACCGUUAUCCAGAUAGUCCAGCCUCCUGCUAUGAAAUUAUCCGUAAAGAUAACGGGAACCUGCACUCCACCAAAUAAACACACAAGAAUAGAAAACAUGAUGCAUCCUAGCCUUAGUCCUAAUCAGGUUAUUAAUUCAGUCUUAAUUCCUUUCAUCUCAGCUUAUGCCUUUCUAAACUGAGUCCGGUUCCAUAAAUAAAAUAACCCUAAGGACUCUACCAUUCAAUAACUUGAUCAUUAUAAUCUAUAUGCGACUCGAUCUAUCCUAAAUUCCAAGUGGAAUUCAAACAAACCAACUCACAAAACUAUCCUAAAUUCCAAGUGGAAUUCACACAAGCCAACUCACAGUGUUCUAGGCGAGAAGCAGCUGGUUGAUCGGAGAGGACUUCGCCAAAACCCCAUGGACGACUUGACUGCACUGGACUUGAGUGAUCUUGAUUUGGACAGAACCUUGGCUUCACCAUGAAGAAGCUGACAGGCCUCGAAAGACUGAUCUGGACUCGGACAGAACCUCCUCUAGCUUCUGGACAGUUCUUCGACUUCCCGGUGCAGUAUUGAGCAUAACUUCGACUGAUCUGAACCCAUGGAACUGAACUAAUCUUGGACAGUACCUCACUUGAUUGUAGGAGAAUAUGACUGGCUUGGACGAAUUAAAUUCGACAGAGCUUCCACCUCACAAUCGUAGAGAAUUAUCGAUUGGACGGAACUGGCCUUCUCGAUGGAGUAUCGGUCUUAAGAAUCGACCAUACUCUUAAAUUGAUCACUUUCUUUUUCUCUCUCUCUCUAGCCACAUUUUGAACUUGCUUUGGUGUGUUCUGGAUGUCUGAAACUGAAGGGGGUGGCUGGGUAUUUAUAGAAAACACCAGCUAAUCAGAUUCAGGUUGGUGGCCGCCCGUGUGUCGCUCCGCAUGGCUCCGGACGCAUGCACGGCGACACCUCGUGCUCCACAUGUCCUUCAGCAUGGCCAGGACUCAUGCAGGGCGCCACCACUCCUCCCAGAUGUCAGGCUGCAUGACUGGAACUCAUGCAAGGCGCCACAGCAUCACACACAUGGCUGGCCGCAUGCUUCGGUUGCAUUCGUCGCGACAUCUCGUGCUUGGCCGCUCCACCUCCUGCUUCUAUGUGUCGGGCUGCAUGGACUGCUUCCAUGCACGUCUACACCUCCUCCUUGUGUUGAUACUGAGCUUGUUAGAUGGUUGACACCACGUUCUGAACCCAUGCAACAAGCCACCUCGAGCUUCUCGGUCCAUUCGCCUGAUUUCGAUCACUCCGAUGAAUUUUCGUCCCGCGAUUAAUCCCAAAUAUUUUUCUACAGCCUCUCUUAUGCUCAGAACAAUUUUAAUAAACUCCAAGUGAUCUCUGAAGUUGAGGGAAAAUAUGUCCUGAGCCUCCGGCUUCCUCAAAAAAUUUCAUAAUACCGAAAUUAGGGUUUUCGUCCAAUUUCGGGUUUUCCCGUCGUGCUUUAAUCCCGUCGUGCUUGCUUCCCGUCGUGCUUAAUUCCCAUCAUGUUUCCAAUGUCUUCGAAAUAAUAUUCUGCUGAUACGAAGUUUUGCGGAAAACUUCGUGCUGAAGAAACGUCAUUCUUCCAAAACGUCGAGCUUCUAAACCGUCGUGCUUCUAAAAAUGUUAUGCUUCGAAAACGUCCGUCUCAUCAAUCUAAGACAUCUUCUAACUAUGGUCGAGCAACUUAUUUGACUCAUAGUUAACUCACGAUCACUUCUUCGCCCACUUCCUACUUUAAAACUUCUCGAUCGCCCGCGACUCGACCACCACAAAGAUACUCGACCAUUCUCUCUCCUUUUUUUUUGUUUUUUUUAACGGGUUUCUUCAUUCUCCCCCCCCCCUUAAUAGAAUUCGUCAUCGAAUUGCGAUGUUGCUCGUCUUCACAACAUUCUCCACUUGUCUCCAUAACCUCUUUACUCUGUCCACCACGGUUCCUUGAGUGUCCUCUUCAAGCCCUCCACAAUCGUCUUCAUAUCUCUUGACUUGAAUGAUCACUGAGUCAUCCUCUUUCUUUUACUCUGACAUAACACACUCAUUGCCCUGAUACGAUCUUGUCCAUGCUCGUUCUUGAUUACUCCAACCAUUUUCUCGAUCUUUGUUUUCCCAACUAAUGAUGAAGUCCUUUCCCAACAAAGUUUUGUUUCCUCCCAUCUGUCCAGUCCAUACCACUGUCCAGUUCUCUGAAUCUCUCUCUCCUCUUUCGCUUCGGGUUUGGGUUUGGCCUUGAACUCCCUCCACUUUAAGGGUUUCAUCCCUUAAAGUUCCGAUCAACAAACACACUUACUCGCUGCAACUCAUAAGAACACCUCACAUGCAAGUUAGUAGACAAUUAAUCAAAUAAUCUACUAACCCAGCAAAUACUAACAAUUCAACCUAACCGCAAUUCUAACCAGCAACCUAACAGUUCUAGAUUCCACUAUCUCAAAUUCUAAUUCCUAAAACCAAAAAUCCUAUCGCUGGACGUGACCGGUUUCCCUAAUGCCUUUUUGACUCUUUUUGACUCGAUAAAUAUUUAAAACCGAUUAAAUCAUGAGUUCUGGAAGCAUGGACGAAACCAUGCUCUGAUACCACCUCUGUAACACCCCCGAACCGUCCUAAGCAUAGGUCGACCCACCGGCCAACAAUCAAACAAGAACAUGACCGACGGACGACCCACACCAAGGGUUGGAGAUGAAAGGCCAACCGGCCAGCCAACAAUCAAAAAAGAACAUGACUGACCGUCCAACCCAACAACAUGGUUCGGAAGCGCUAUGUGACGGGCUAGGGACAAUCCGAUCAGAGUCACAAACUUUACUUCACGACCUCGACCAGUUCAUCCACUAACUCGUCCCACUACGUCAAGGCACAAGGCUUUGCAACCCGGCCAAGAGUUAGCGUUUUCUGUUAGAUCAAGGCCUAAGGCUUUUCAACCCGUACUACAACCUAACGUUGUGUUAGACCGAACUAGUCAAAUAUCAGAGUACUCAUGAAGCGCAUAUAAAACAUUUACUUUAUUGAUUCGAGAAAUAUCCAUACAUUGAAUAAUUCGAGACUGAGCCCGGCCUAAUGCCAAAUCGAGCCAACAAAACACAUAACUCAAUACCGUUUACAAAAGGCAUGAAAAUCUACACCGGCGGUCCUAACGUCCAGCACCAACCUAUCCGAUCAUCCUUACCUAAAGCGACCUGAAAAAAAGGACAACAGAGUUGGAUGAGUAACCUAAUGUUACUCAGUGAGCUGGCUGCCUCUACCCGCAACCUAGACUCUAACCCAGACAACCCAAAAUAACAAUAAAUCUAGCCCUAGCAUGCAAUAAAAGCUAAGGCUAAGCAAACCGUUACUGAGUUAGAUUUGGCCUCCUGCCAUGAUCUAACUUCAAUUAACAUGAACCUGCAAGACUCCUGCCAUGAUCUAACUUCAAGUAACAGGAACCUGCAAGAAAACAAGUCAACAACCAAUCCUUAGUUAACCAUAUAUACGCCUGAGUUCAGUACUCAUGUAGUGUUAGACACUUAGACUAUACAAGUAUCAUUAGUCAAUCAACCAACAAUCAAACAAGAACAUGAUCGGCCAACCAAUGAUACCGCAUAGCUUUAAUAUCCACCACCCUUCACAAGCAGUCACUCAAACACAUAUAGGCCAACGUCAGGCCUACAAUAACCAAAUACACACCAAGCGUAAUCCGGUACCUAAACCAGACUUAGGUCUUAAUGCCAGAACCUGCAAGUAAAUCAAUCAACCACAAUCACAAUAAUAACUAUGAGUAUCUGCGACUUGAUCUAACUCGUAACACCGUAUAUCGAUGCUACAUUACUCAAGGGUUCCAUAACCCUCUACGACACACUAAGACAACACUCUAACCUGGGCCCUGGUGACUUCGUGUUCCUCCUCUCUAUCGGCAAUAUCCUAUCUUCCUACCACAAAGGCCUGAAGAAGGAACUUUCAACCGACCGCGGCCCUCAGUUAUUCGGGUCACCGCGCGACAGCCCACAGUCCUUCAGGUCACUGCCACAUUACACCGUCGUGUAAUAC
rnacentral:lncRNA from 1 species